GACGAACCGUGCGAACGUUGUUCGGAAUCACUGGGCUUAAAGGGUGCGUAGGCGGGUGGCCAAGUCAGGGGUGAAAUCCUCCAGCUCAACUGGAGAACAGCUUUUGAUACUGGUCGUCUUGAGGGGGGUAGGGGCAAGUGGAACUUCCGGUGGAGCGGUGAAAUGCGUAGAUAUCGGAAGGAACGCCGGUGGCGAAAGCGGCUUGCUGGACCCUUUCUGACGCUGAGGCACGAAAGCCAGGGGAGCAAACGGG
rnacentral:rRNA from 1 species